UCAAAUCAUCAUGCCCCUUAUGACCUGGGCUACACACGUGCUACAAUGGAUGGUACAACGAGUUGCGAAACCGCGAGGUUUAGCUAAUCUCUUAAAACCAUUCUCAGUUCGGACUGUAGGCUGCAACUCGCCUACACGAAGUCGGAAUCGCUAGUAAUCGCGGAUCAGCAUGCCGCGGUGAAUACGUUCCCGGGCCUUGUACACACCGCCCGUCACACCAUGAGAGUUUGUAACACCCAAAGCCGGUGGGGUAACCUUUUAGGAGCUAGCCGUCUAAGGUGGGACAGAUGAUUAGGGUGAAGUCGUAACAAGGUAGCCGUAG
rnacentral:rRNA from 1 species